rnacentral:rRNA from 1 species
CCACACACGACCGUACCGCAAACCGACACUGGUGCGCGAGAUGAGUAUUCUAAGGCGCUUGAGAGAACUCAGGAGAAGGAACUCGGCAAAUUGACACCGUAACUUCGGAAGAAGGUGUGCCUUUAGUAGGUGAACCAUUUACUUGGGGAGCCCAAUGAGGCUGCAAAAAAUCGGUGGCUGCAACUGUUUAUUAAAAACACAGCACUCUGCUAAGACGAAAGUCGACGUAUAGGGUGUGACGCCUGCCCGGUGCUGGAAGAUUAAAUGAUGGGGUGCAAGCUCUUGAUUGAAGUCCCAGUAAACGGCGGCCGUAACAAUAACGGUCCUAAGGUAGCGAAAUUCCUUGUCGGGUAAGUUCCGACCUGCACGAAUGGCGUAAUGAUGGCCACACUGUCUCCUCCUGAGACUCAGCGAAGUUGAAAUGUUUGUGAUGAUGCAAUCUCCCCGCGGAAAGACGGAAAGACCCCAUGAACCUUUACUGUAGCUUUGUAUUGGACUUUGAACAGAUCUGUGUAGGAUAGGUGGGAGGCUUUGAAGUGUGGUCGCUAGAUCGCAUGGAGCCAACGUUGAAAUACCACCCUGGUGUGUUUGAGGUUCUAACCUAGGUCCAUUAUCUGGAUCGGGGACAGUGCAUGGUAGGCAGUUUGACUGGGGCGGUCUCCUCCCAAAGUGUAACGGAGGAGUUCGAAGGUACGCUAGGUACGGUCGGACAUCGUGCUAAUAGUGCAAUGGCAUAAGCGUGCUUAACUGCGAGACUGACAAGUCGAGCAGAUGCGAAAGCAGGACAUAGUGAUCCGGUGGUUCUGUAUGGAAGGGCCAUCGCUCAACUGAUAAAAGGUACUCUGGGGAUAACAGGCUGAUACCGCCCAAGAGUUCAUAUCGACGGCGGUGUUUGGCACCUCGAUGUCGGCUCAUCUCAUCCUGGGGCUGUAGCCGGUCCCAAGGGUAUGGCUGUUCGCCAUUUAAAGAGGUACGUGAGCUGGGUUUAAAACGUCGUGAGACAGUUUGGUCCCUAUCUUCCGUGGGCGCUGCAGAUUUGAGGAAGCCUGCUCCUAGUACGAGAGGACCGGAGUGGACGAACCUCUGGUGUAUCGGUUGUCACGCCAGUGGCAUUGCCGAGUAGCUAAGUUCGGAAGAGAUAACCGCUGAAAGCAUCUGAGCGGGAAACUCGUUUCAAGAUUAGAUCUGCCGGGGCCUUGAGCCCCCUAAAGAGUCGUUCAAGACCAGGACGUUGAUAGGUCAGGUGUGGAAGUGA